UGUUCAGGGGUAAACCUGUGGUUCCCGAAAGUUCGAAUGAGGAGAUUCAAUUGCCUUACCGGGUUAUGAGCCAUGUAACAGGUGUCAUUUUGUGACAUUAUAUACGUUCUAUGGUUGCAAAACUAUAGUUUUGUUAUAUAGUGCACCACUGUUAUGGUUGUAUCGAAAUUCAUAAACGGAGGCAUGCACUUCUUCUCUAGUAGGACGUCGUGACCCAUUGGGUACAUUUGUCUAAGGCACAUUAUGGAGAUCAUGGUAUCAAAUUUUACGAUUUGUAUAUUUCAUGAACAUUUUUGUUGUCCCGACAUAUGCCUGAUGGUAGAAUUAUGAUAAUGAGACGUUAAAUUUUAUUUAAUGAACGUUCUCGAUCUAUAACAAAUUAACAUAUGAUUCAUAAAUAUGGAAACCGUAUUUUCAAUACGAUUCUGUACAUAUGUUAUUGGUAUGGUUAUAUGUAUCUCGAACUGUUUCUUAUUAUCAGUCAACGGCGUUUAUGUUUUGGGUAAUUACAGGACCCGUCUUGAAACACGGACCAAGGAGUCUAGCAUGUGCGCAAGUCAUUGGGAUAUUUAUAUGAAUCCUAAAGGCGUAAUGAAAGUAAAAUAUAUUUAUAAAAUAUAUUUUUUAUAUAUAUUAAGGGAAGAUGGGUAAUGAUAUACUAUAUUACCUCGCAUUCCCGGGGCGUCGCAUAUUUAUUGCAAAUUGCGGCGCACCAAGAGCGUACACGCUGGGACCCGAAAGAUGGUGAACUAUGCCUGGUCAGGAUGAAGUCAGGGGAAACCCUGAUGGAGGUCCGUAGCGAUUCUGACGUGCAAAUCGAUCGUAUGAACUGGGUAUAGGGGCGAAAGACUAAUCGAACCAUC
rnacentral:rRNA from 1 species